CCGAGAUUCUAUGUUCAAGAGCAGAGUACUGAUUGACUGCAGUGUUCCUUAGAGUGGAGGAAGAAGGUUAGACUUGCCUGUCAGAGAGGCUAGAACUAGAGAACAAGAUUAAGGAUAGACUGUGGUUUUACCUACAAGUGAAGUUUAGACAGAAUGGAGCCAAUGGUACCCAGGAAGCCUGAGAAAAGGUUGUAUUUUGAUCUUGUAAGCCUGAAAUAAGGUGAGCUGUAUUUUUGUUUUUGCAUGUAUUUUUUUCCUGUCCUCUCUCCUUCCCUUUCUUACUUACAUUACUAACAUAACUAACC